AGAAUCAACGCUGGCGGCGUGCCUAACACAUGCAAGUCGAACGAGAAAGUGGAGCAAUCCAUGAGUAAAGUGGCGACCGGGUGAGUAACACGUGACUAACCUACCUUUCAGUGGGGAAUAACCUCGGGAAACCGGGGCUAAUACCGCAUAAUGUCUUCGGACCAAAGGAGCAAUUCGCUGAAAGAGGGGGUCGCGGCCGAUUAGCUAGUUGGCGGGGUAACGGCCCACCAAGGCAAUGAUCGGUAGCCGGCCUGAGAGGGCGCACGGCCACACUGGAACUGAAACACGGUCCAGACUCCUACGGGAGGCAGCAGUGGGGAAUUUUGCGCAAUGGGGGAAACCCUGACGCAGCAACGCCGCGUGGAGGAUGAAGCCCCUUGGGGUGUAAACUCCUUUCGAUCGGGACGAUUAUGACGGUACCGGAUGAAGAAGCACCGGCUAACUCUGUGCCAGCAGCCGC
rnacentral:rRNA from 1 species